GAUGAACGCUAGCGGCAGGCCUAAUACAUGCAAGUCGAACGCGGGGUAGCAAUACCUCGAGUGGCGCACGGGUGCGUAACGCGUAACCAACCUGCCCUUGACUGGGGGAUAGCCCGCCGAAAGGCGGAUUAAUACCGCAUAAACCAGCAGCCUGGCAUCAGGCAACUGGUAAAGAUUUAUUGGUCAAGGAUGGGGUUGCGUGACAUUAGCUAGUUGGCGGGGUAACGGCCCACCAAGGCGACGAUGUCUAGGGGACCUGAGAGGGUGAUCCCCCACACUGGCACUGAGAUACGGGCCAGACUCCUACGGGAGGCAGCAGUAGGGAAUAUUGGGCAAUGGGCGAGAGCCUGACCCAGCCAUGCCGCGUGCCGGAUGAAGGCCUUCUGGGUUGUAAACGGCUUUUCUCAGGGAAGAAAAAGGGUAUGCGUACCACACUGACGGUACCUGAGGAAUAAGCACCGGCUAACUCCGUGCCAGCAGCCGCUGUAACAC
rnacentral:rRNA from 1 species